GAACGGCCGUGGUCAGCAUCCCGGACUCAUCAAAGCUAAAUGACCGCUCGAUAAUAUUGCAUUUUGUGCUGCACGGAUGCUCUCGCACACCUGAGCGGACCGAGGCGCUCCGCUGCCUAAUUUCUCCUUUGUGCAACAAUCUGGCGUAAUCCAGGAGUUUAAACAUCCGAUGGGCCAACUGAUCCACAAUUUGGGGUCCCUGGUUUUUUUGGAGCAAACAAUUAUGUGCGAGGUGCCGGACAUACCAAGAUGAAAACGCAGAACCGAGUUGAGUUUCCAGCCCAGUAACCUCCAUCCAGGUACCACCAUGCCCAAUACCUGUGCAACUUCUACCACACUAAGGCAUUGAUUAAAAAGAGAAAAAUG